rnacentral:misc_RNA from 1 species
GAAAUGCGAUAAGUAAUGUGAAUUGCAGAAUUCAGUGAAUCAUCGAAUCUUUGAACGCAUCUUGCGCUUCUUGGUAUUCCAAGGAGCAUGCCUGUUUGAGUGUCAUUAAAUCUCUCAAAACCACGUAGCUGUGGCUUUUGGAUGUGGGGGUUGCAGGCCUUUGGCCGGCUCCCCUGAAAUGUAUCAGUGGUGUCUGCGUGAGACUACAGGUGUGAUAAAAUGAAUCUAUGCCUCGUCUUUUGCUGUGCCCGCUUUCUUGAUGGAGUUGGAUUGACAAAUUUGACCUCAAAUCAGGUAGGACUACCCGCUGAACUUAA